rnacentral:rRNA from 1 species
AUUGAACGCUGGCGGAAUGCCUAACACAUGCAAGUCGAGCGGGGGUAGCAAUACUUCAGCGGCGGACGGGUGAGGAACACAUAGGAAUCUGCCUUUAGGUGGGGGAUAGCCAGGGGAAACUCUGAGUAAUACCGCAUGAUCUCGAGGGAGCAAAGGGGCGCAAGUCUCGCCUUUAGAGGAGCCUAUGUCUGAUUAGCUAGUUGGCGGUGUAAUGGACCACCAAGGCGAUGAUCAGUAACUGGUCUGAGAGGACGAUCAGUCACACCGGAACUGAGACACGGUCCGGACUCCUACGGGAGGCAGCAGUGGGGAAUAUUGGACAAUGGGCGAAAGCCUGAUCCAGCAAUUCCGCGUGUGUGAAGAAGGCCUUCGGGUUGUAAAGCACUUUAGUUGGGGAAGAAACAGCUUGGCCACACCAAGCCUUGACGGUACCCAAAGAAUAAGCACCGGCUAACUCUGUGCCAGCCGCCGCAGUAAAAC